rfam:Homo sapiens chromosome 4, GRCh38 reference primary assembly.
GCCAGGUGCAGUGGCUUGUGCCUGUAAUCCCAGCACUUUGGGAGGCCGAGGCGGGUGGAUCACCUGAGGUCAGGAGUUCGAGACUAGCCUGACCAACAUGGUGAAACCCCGUCUCUA